AAGGCCAAGUGAUAAUGCUUUUGUUACCAAACACUCCAGAGUUUGUCCUGUCAUUUCUCGGCGCUUCAUUCCGUGGCGCCAUUGCCACAGCUGCCAACCCUUUUUUCACCCCAGCGGAGGUAGCAAAGCAAGCAAAAGCCUCCAACGCCAGGCUCAUAAUCACGCAAGCCAAUUAUGUUGACAAAGUAAAGGAAUUUGCCCAAGACAACGAUGUCAAGGUGAUGUGCAUUGACUCAGCCCCAGAGGGCUGUUUACAUUUCUCUGAGUUAACUCAAGCUGACGAGAAUUAUCUCCCUGAAGUCGACAUCGUUCCAGACGAUGUCGUCGCACUACCCUAUUCGUCGGGAACCACGGGACUCCCCAAAGGAGUGAUGUUAACGCACAAAAGUUUAGUCACAAGCGUGGCGCAACAGGUCGAUGGAGAAAACCCCAAUUUGUAUUUCCACAGUGAAGAUGUGAUCUUAUGUACUCUGCCCAUGUUCCAUAUGUACGCCCUGAAUUCUAUUAUGCUUUGCGGGCUACGUGUUGGGGCUGCAAUUUUGAUCAUGCAGAAGUUUGAGAUAGGGUUGUUGUUCGAGUUGAUACAAAAAUACAAAGUGACAAUUGCUCCUAUAGUGCCACCUAUAGUUUUGGCCAUUGCUAAGUCAUCCGAAACUGAUAAAUAUGACUUGUCUUCCGUAAGGAUGUUGAAGUCCGGGGCCGCACCGUUGGGGAAAGAGCUUGAGGAUGCUGUAAGAGCCAAGUUUCCUGGUGCCAAACUUGGGCAGGUACGGGAGUCAAAUACUUUUACCUGUCUUUUUAUUUCUGUGUUAGACUACUUACUUCCAACUAAAGUUUUGAAAAUUCUUCAUUCAUAGGCUUUAUUUUUUAGUUAAAAUUUAGAAGAAAAUUAAAAUGAUUUUCUUUUUUGGGGAAAUGUUUCGUUAGUUAUAUAUACUAUGCAAAUCUGGAAAAACAACUUUCUUUUCCUUCUUUUUUCAAAUAAGGAAUGAGACAUUUUCCUUCUCUCACGUUAUAGUAUUGUAAAAGAAGUCCUAAGUUUUAAGAUUAACCCACUAAGUGUAUAAUAAAAAUAAUAAUAAAUAAUAUUCUUAAUUAAUAAAAUAAAAUAAAAAUAAUCAUAAAUCCUUCACCAAUCCCUCCACAUAAAAUCGCAAAAUAAAAUACUAUUAUGAAAAGCAUUGAUUUGGUCUUCAAGGACAGCACCAGCACUUAUCCUAUAUAUAUAUAUAUAUAUAUAUAUAUAUAUAUAUAUAUAUACACGUGUGUGUAUGUAUUUAUUUCUUAUGUUCAUAUUGUAGGGUCGAGCUAUGAUGUGGAAGUUCCACUAAACAUGAUAUAAUGGAUAUUCAAAGAUUAUAGCCUAGGCAACCAUCACCUGCCUAAGUCUCUUGACCAACAAAUCUAUAAGAAACUUUACUACUCCACUGAUAAUCAUUUUUGUUUUUCACAUAAUUAAUUCUAAUGGUGUUGGCUGACCAGCCUCCUCUUGUUUUGUUGCCGUUUAGUUUGGUAUCUUUGGCUUUUUUAUCCCCAUAGAAAGAACCAAAAAAAAAAAAGAAAGGGUUUUAAUUCAACAACCUUGGAUGAGACCUAAUUUAAUUGAAUGUGAAUGUGAUGAGUCGACAUGAUGGACCGGGUUUUAAUUGAAAAGCGGUUUGCAGGGGUAUGGAAUGACAGAAGCAGGACCAGUUCUAGCAAUGUGCUUGGGAUUUGCUAAAGAACCAUUUGAAAUGAAAUCCGGGGCUUGUGGGACUGUGGUAAGGAACGCAGAAAUGAAAAUUGUUGAUCCUGACACCGGUUCCUCGCUACCACGAAACCAGUCUGGAGAGAUUUGCAUUAGAGGAGAUCAGAUCAUGAAAGGUAAAUCAGUAAAAACAAAAACAGAAAAUGCCUUUGCCAUAAAUUCUGUACUGAAAUGAAUUUUACACAAAAUUUGAAUUUUAAAUAAAACAUGAACAACGUUGUUGAAUGGUCCAGGAUACCUUAAUGACCCUGAGGCCACCGCUAGGACCAUUGACAAAGAUGGCUGGUUACAUACUGGAGAUAUUGGUUACAUUGAUGAAGAUGAUGAACUCUUCAUCGUUGACCGAUUGAAGGAAUUGAUCAAAUACAAGGGUUUGCCGGUUGCUCCUGCUGAGCUUGAAGCCAUGCUCAUUGCCCACCCUGAUAUCAUUGAUGCUGCCGUGGUCGCGUAAGUUAAAUAAUAAUCGAUGUUUUGUAGUAUUAUAUAUAAUUAGUUUCUUGGUUUGAUAUUUUCUGGCUUACUUAAAUACUAAUUUAUAUCUGAAAUUUUCAGCAUGAAGGAUGAAGCGGCUGGAGAAGUUCCUGCUGCAUUUGUGGUGAGAUCAGACAAAUCACAAAUCAGUGAGGAUGAAAUCAAGAAGUACAUUUCAAAACAGGUAAUUUAAAUCAAAUUUUACUAAUUUAGAACAUAUCGUUCUGGUAGAACUUAGAAGUAACACUAAAUUAAGUAAUACAAAUAUAUUAAUACUGAUUAUUGUUGUAGACACCAAUUUUGUCCGGGUCUACUGUUUUAAUUUUAAUAAUAAUAAUAAUAGUAAUAAUAAUAAUAAUAAUUUAAAAUAAAAUAAUAAUUAUUAAUUAUAUAAAAAAAACACAAAAAAGAAAAAAAAAAGUAGGGUGGCUGGCUUGUUGUCGCCCCCGACCAGCCACCCUACAGCCCUUUGAUUAGCCCCCACACUCACUAGCCUACAGCCACUUACAGCCAUCCUACAAUCACCUAGAUCCCCUUUUGAACCCAUUCAAAUACGGAUCUGAACCCUUUCUAAAAAAAAAACCCUCUCGAACCCCCUUCAACCUCUCUCUUGGAAAUUCCUUCUCGAAAUCUUUCGGAUAGUUCUUCACCUUCAAACACACUGCUUACAAUAUCGUCUCGGACACCUAGACACACCAAAGAAAAUCCUUCAACCCACACCAACCACGAAAACAGAAACACAAAAACAGAAACAAAAAAAAAGUCAAACAGUCCUCCCCGUAAGGAGGAACCUCAGCGCCAGAAAGCCCUGUAAACAAGCAAAAAAAUCAUCAGUGUCUUUUACAUUAAAAAAAAAGAGAGACAGAGAAAGGAAACAGAAACUUUGAGCUCCGAUCUACGCUGAUCAGGACUGUUUCUGGUAAAACAGACGUCGGAUCUGGGAAGAUCUCGUUGAAAGAAGCUUCUGAAAAAAUUUGGGUAAUUUUUCGACCAUCGACGACCACUGUUGGUGGCGGCUAGUGUGGUGCUCUGACGACCGGACGGCAAGACUGCCGGAGCUCUCCCCCCAGAGCUCUCUCUCUCUCUCUCUUUUUUUUCUGAAAACAAAAACCAAAUGAAAAUUUUUUUUUUCGGUUAUAUAUAAUGGAUUAAAAAGCAAAAUAACGUCGUUUCGGUCAAGGAGAAUCCGCGCGUUGACCCGGAUUCGACCCGAGAUUCGCGUAACCCGACCUGUGGACCCGCUCUCUUAACGAUCGUUGACCGGUCAGGUUCAGGUAAAAAAAAUUUUUUUUUUAAUUUUCUAAAUUUUUUUAUAUUAUUAUUUUUGUUAUUUUAAGUAUAUAUUUAUAUUUAUGCAUGAUAAAUUUAUAAAUUUGUUAAAAUAAAUGUUUAAUUAUUUUAAUAAUAAUAAAAUUAAAAACAAGUAAUAAUUAAAAAUAUACUAAAAUGCUCAAAAAAAAUUUUUAUUAUUUUUCUUGCCUAGAUGUUGGAGGGAAUAAAAACAUUUUUUUAAAAAUAAUUCCGCCUAGAUGUUGGGGAAUUAUUGUUAAUAAUUUUUCAUAAAAAAAUAUAUAAGAAAUUUUUAAUUAGUUUUCAAAAGUUAUAAAAAAUUGAACCUGCUCCAAAAGUCUGCCUAGAUGAUAGAGAUUUUUAGAGAUGUUCGUAUUUUACUUAAACCUUAAAUACUAAUUUGUAAUUUUCAAAAUCCUAAGUUUCUAAAACCCCCUAAAACCCAAAAUCCCCUUAAAAUCCAAAAUCUUAAAAUCGAAAUCCUUAAAAUCAAACCCCCCCCCAAAAUCCAAAAUCCUAAACCUUUAAACUUUUAAAUCCAAACCCAAAAUCCAAAAUCUCUAAAAUCCAAGCCUUUAAAUCAAAACCUCAAACCUCAAAACCCAAACCCUAAAAUCUCCAAACAUUAAAAUCAAAACCCUAAACCUUCCAUAUCCUAAAAUUCAAGCUUUAAAACCCUCUAAACCUUAAAACCAAACCUUCAAAACCUCUACUCAAGCCCUCACUCAAAACCUCCUAAAAAUCCUAAGGAUACGUGUGAAAAUUCUAUUUGAAGCAAUUUGUUCUCGAAUGCUGCUAGAUGAUGGGGUAUUUAGGAAAUUUUACUUCGUUAAGUCUUUUCAUACGAUUUUUUAAUUUGCUUUAAUAAUAAGAUUAAUAAAUAAAAAGUAUAAUAAAAAUUAGAAUCUUAAAUAUAAACAGUCGCACCUAAGCUCUGCCUAGAUGUUGGAGAGUCGGGGUGAUCUCAUUAUACUUAAGAAUCCAACUAUUAAAUUGCAUUUCAUUUCUUAUGACAUUCAUUAGUAUACAUACGUUAGCAUGUUAUUAUCAAUAAUUGUCUGCAUUAUUUUAUCUUUAAUUUACUGUUUGAUAAUAAAAUAUUUAUAAUAAAAAGAAUAAUACUUUUAAAAAAUUUUUUGUGAUAUUAUAAAAUAAAAUAAAAAUAACAUUCCGAAAGAAAAAAUUCUUAGUACUCUGCCUAGAUGUUGGAGAGUCACUAAUAAUUAUUUUCUAUAAAGAUUGUUAUUUCAUUUUAAGGAUUAUUGUGUUAAAUCUUAAGCGAAAAGAGUUAUUUCAAAUUCUGCCUAGAUAUUGAAGAAUUUUAAGAUAAUUCUUUAACUUAAAGAUUUUAUCAAUAUUUCUAAAUAAAAAUUUUAGCAAAAAUAUUUUUUUAAAAACGAAGGAAAGUUAGUAUUAAAUUUCAAGUCAAAAUCAUUUUUAUCUAACACCGAAAAUAGCACAUAGUUGAAUGGUACCAAUUUAUGGGCGUUGUGGGGGUGCUAAUCCUUCCCACACGUAACCGACUCCUGGACCUAACCUGGUUAUUCGUAGACCAAAAUUUAUCUUUUUGAUAAACCUUAAACCCAUUUUUAUAGUUUUAUUAAAAAGAUAAACUUUUGGGUGAUCAAUCACACCUAACAAAGAUUGGUGGCGACUCCUCCCCUUUUAUUUUUCUCGAUUUUAAAAAACUCGUUUUACGUCUGACGGUCCCAAAACCGUUACGACAGCUUGACGACUCCACUGGAGACUUAUUUGAGAGUCAGGCCAAAAUUUUAAUUAUGCGCUAUUGACGAUGGUUGGAUUUAAUUGAUUUUAUUUGAUAUUUAAUUUAAUUUCUUUUAUUUUAUUUUUUGAAAACAUUCGAGUUAAUAAAUAAAAUAAAUUGUAUGAUAGUUAUUAAUUUAUUUUGAUUUUGUGGUUAUGAUUUAUUCAUGUUAUUUUGAUUAAUACAUUGCUUUACACACACUUUGCAUAUUCACUUGCAUGCAUGAGCUCUAUACCCGAGGUCCAUCCCUUUUAAGAGGAAAUGAAGUAGCUACGCUCUCGUGAGGUGAUAACCUCCGCAUUUGCUAGCAAAAUACUUCCACUUAGAUUGAACCCUUUCCGUUAAUAACCUAUAAUGGGCGAGUAUCGGAGAACCUUACUAGUUUAUAAUGGACGAUGAUGUGAGGAAUAGUCUGGGAACCUUUAGACAUAUAAAUUCUAACCCAACAUAUCAUGAGCCAUAUGAAGCCUACCUAGGAUAGAGUCAUGCCACCUUUUUAAAAAAUUACCAAAAAUUAAGACAUUAUACAUUAUAUUAUUUGGUUGUAUGGUUGUUAUGUUAUUUUUCUUACUUGUUUGUUUUGAAUUCUCGAGUCAUUUUAUUUUUUUAUUUUAUAUAUUCUUUGAUUGUGUGCAUUAUAUUUGAAUAUGUGGUAUUUAUUUUAGGUCAAUCAUUGAAAAGAAAAAAAAAGACAAAAAACAUUUUCAAAGAUUAAAGAUUUUUCUUAAAUCUUUUGUUUAUUGGCCGAAUAAAGACUAAUUUUCAAGCCUUAUUUAUUUCAUUUUUCCUUCUCAAAAUUAAAAAAAAAUUGUAUUUUAUUUCAUCUUUCGGAUUUCAUACAUCGUAAUAAAUAAUACAUGUAUCUCAUCCCAUGCGCAUUAUAAUAAGAUAAUAUGUGCAUUUCAUCCCAUCCAUAUCAAUAGGUAACACAUGCAUUUUACUUCAUGCACAUGCAUCCCAUGCACUUCUUGAUAAGUAGUGCAUGCAUUCUAUCUCGUUACGUAUCUUAAGGCAAUGUUUACCUUGUUAAGCCAGCACAACAUAUGCAUUGCAUUUCAUACAUACAAAUCUCAUACAUAAGUAGGUCCGUGCAUUUCAUAAAAGUAUGUUGCAUUAGUCAUAAAAAUACUCUCACCAUUCAUGUAAAUAGGUCAUUGCGUUUCAUGCAUAUAGAUUCAUGAAUAAUAAAGUCGUAUGAAACAUACAUUAUGUUUCAUAUCCCACCAUUCUUGCAACAUGACAUUGCAUUUUUUGCAUACACAUUCAUGGUUGACGAAAAUUUUUAUUUGGGUCUUUGUACAUAUAAAAAUCUAUUGUCAUAAGUAUAUAUGCAUUUCGUGACAUUCUCAUGUUCAUGUAUUCAUAAACAUACUUUGUAUGUCUUUGUUUUUAUGAUAUUCAUUCAAUAAGGGUAAUAGUCUAAAAUGUUUUGUCUAAGUUCUGAAAUAAAAUGUCUGUCUUGGUGGAAAUUAGAGUGACAAAAAUGGGAGAUCAAUUGGAAGCAAUGAUUAGUGCUUUGGAGUUGAAUCAAGAGGAAUUAUGGCUUGCACGUCAUGCAUCAUCUGUUUGAAUUCAUUAUUUUUCAUGUCAGCUAAAGACAAGGAAUGAUAAUUGUAAAUAUACUUUCAUCAAACCUUUGAAGCAAUUUUUUUUAUAUAAUAGAAUUCAUGCCAUGCAUUUCUAACUUCUGGUAAUUAAUAAAAAGUUCAAGGAUAACUAUUCUAGGGAACGAAGUCAGUUGAGUCUGCACACUUAUAGCACUCGAGUCAGUACCAGAAUCAUGAAAAUAAAGAUGCCAGUCGAAUGAACAGAGUAGAAAAGACCUAAGGAGAGAUCGGUGAAACAGUUACGAAAAUUCAACAAAACGUGAACAAACAACUGGCAGAAUUAAAACAAAUGAUAGUGGAAUUGAUGAAAGGAAAAAGAGUUGUUGAGAUGCACAGGAUAAAGGAGGAAACAGCUAUCGAGACACCAUUGUAUCCAUAUGGGUUCACAUAUGUUCAAGAUCCCUAUGUGUCACAGGUACCUCCAACAACUUGUCAACCUUAUAGUGGCCAUUUUCCCAAGUUACCAUCAGUUCAGACAAAUGUCAAUCCUGGGCAUACUCCUCACAACUUCAUUAUUGUGCUUAAUGUGGAUGAUCAUAAAGAAUUAAAAAAAUUGACAAGGGUGCUAGAUCCAUCAGAAGAUAUAAUGAUGAAAGAUAAGUAUGACCUAUUGGAAGGGAGAUUGAAAGCAAUUGAAAGCCAUGAUGUGUGCAAGAAUGUUGAUGCCAGUGAACUUAGUCUAGUACCUGAUCUUAUUAUUCCAUCAAAAUUCAAAGCCGUAGAUUUUAAAAAGUAUAACGAAACUGGAUGUCUUAAAAUACAUUUAGCUCAAUACGGUCACAACAUGGUUGGGUACGCUAAUGAUAAAAAGCUGUUUAUUCAUGUCUUUCAAAAAAGUUUGACUGAGGCAGCAGCUAAUUGGUAUCAUAGUUUGAAAAACAGUCAAAUUUGUACUUGAAAAAUUUAUCACAGGCAUUUUUGAAGCAAUACCAAUAUAUGUUAAAGUUGGCUUCGAAUCGAUUAACCCUCCAAAAUAUGAGAAAGAACCCCAAUGAAAGCUAGAAAGAAUAUACUAUUAGAUGAAAGAAUAUGACAUCAUAGGUACAACCACCUCUUACCAAUAGAGAGUUGAAUUCCCUGUUUGUGAAUACAUUUUUUUCUUCUUAUUAUGAUAAGUUGAUCAGUAAUACUUCAUCAGAGUUUGUGAAUUUAUUGUUUACUGUGGGUAGAAUUGAGGAUGGGAUAAGAAGGGAAAGAAUUAUAGAUACUGGUGAUGAAAAAAUAAGAGAUAUUUUUGUAAAACAAGUCCAAGAAAUAAUUGUUAAAGGGCAAAAUGAGAGAAAUCCCACCAUGAUGCAGAAAAUCCAACGGAUGAUUAUUCACAAUGGUUACCAUAUUGUCCCUAACCAAUUUUUUCGAUCGAUGAUUUUCCUCGAUCACUUCAUAUGUGUGCUCAAAUUCUUUCACCACGAAUAGAACCAAGGAUCAACUUAAGCCAUUCACAGAGUCGUAAGAGAAAGAGAGCCAAAGUGUAUCAUUCACUGUCAAUACCUUACGCUGAGCUCUUUACUUUACUGAUAGAGAAUCAUAUGAUCUCUGUUGUUCUUGCAAGACUCAGAAAGCCUCCGUAUCUGAAAUGGUAUGAUCCUAAUGCUAAAUGUGAAUUUCAUGAUAGAGUUAAGGGGCAUUCCAUAGAAGAUUGUACUACCUUCAGGAUAAAGUUCAAGCUUUGAUCGACGCAGAUGAUGCAAAGUUUAAAGAGCUAGUUGGUAGUUUUGAUGAUUGAUAGUAGUAAGUUGCAAGUUAGUGAUGCUAAAGUUGAAACAUCAAGGGGAAAACUUUUGUUUAUGUAACUUUGAAUAUCAUCUCAAGAGUAUGAUCAAAAUGAUAAAUUCUUUUUGGGUCAAGUUCUAAGGUUUGCAUUGCAUGAGUAAACAUUGUGCAUCAUAGUGUUUUAUUUCGUGUAAGUUUCGAUAUAUAGUUGAUUUUUUUUUAAAAAAAAGAGGAAAGAUGUUAGAUAUGAAUAAAGUCCCAUGUGAUUAAGUGCCAAGGCUAGAGAAAUGUUAAAAAAAAAAGUAACAAAAAAAAGAAAAAAAGAAUUUUUGAGUCUAAGAUGAAUUGACGAUCACUAUUAGAAAAUUUUCAAAUACCUAAAUGCCAAUCUACUCAUUCAGUUGACCCCAUUUCAUCAGUCAUGUCCCUUUGAUAGCCCUGAAUUCGGAUUUGUGAACCUUAUUGAUAUUGUUGUUAUAUCAAAAGGGAAUUUUCUUUUCUGAGGCAAUGAACAAAUGAAAUAGCCAUUGAAAAAAUGUGUGGUUCUUACAAAAUCAAGUCUAUAUGACUUUCUUUUUUUGAAAUUCAAAUGUGAUAAUUUGAUAUGACAAGAUUAUGCUGCAGUUCCAAAAUUUUCAAAUCCAAGUCUUGUAAAAUGCACUCAAGCAUACUACCUUUUAGCUUUUUAUCCCAAAAUUAAUCCGAUCCUUUGUCUUGAGGUAUAUUUGUCAGAAAAAAAAUACCUCAUUACCUUUAAGGCAACUUAAGUUAUGAUUAACCUUUUUGUUCUUUUUUUGUGGAGUAACUUAGAUCAUUUGAUACUUUAAACAUGUUUACCCCACAUAAUCUUUUUUUUAUCCAUUUCAUAUGACCCUUCUCUUGUAAUUACUUUCAUUAUGGGUGGUUUGCUAAAAUGGGACAUCUUUCAUGAAAUGUGUUACUGACAAAAUGAAUCUAGGUGUGAGCUAUGGGGGCAUAAAAAAAAACAACAAAAAAAAAGAAGAAAAAAUAGGUUAUGACAUCAUGCACUAAAAAAUUUAAGCAAAUCCAAAAAGGUCAUGACAAAGUCAAGGUUUUGAAAAAAAAAAAACUAAAAAUUUUUUUUUGAGAUUAAAAAGAAAAAAACUUUUUUCCCAAGUUCAUUUUUCUGAAGAAUAGUCUUCAAUUUAAGUGUUUAUGCUUGAAGUGACAAAUGACCAUCUUUCAUUAUCUCUUCACAAAAAUAAAAAUUUAUCUUUUGUUACCCUUUUAGCCUAAUUGAAUUCUUUCAAAAUAAACCCUAACUAAGGAUCACCUUUCAUAUUGGGGGCAAAAAAAAAACGUUUGAAGAAUAAGAAUGAGAAUGUCUAAUGAAAUCUCAUGUGAUAGGGGCACAAACCCAGUAUAAAAGUUCAUAAAAGUUUUGAAUCCACUCAGUGAAAGGAUGCAAAAAAAAAAAAAAAAAGAAAGGAAAGGAAGAAUAAAAAAAAAUGAAUGGGUGGAAAGCAUAAAAUAGAAUAUACCUUAGAGUGUAUCUUUCCAAUGAAAAAUGAUCCUUAGCUUCAAAUACCCUUAAAUACUUAUUUUGGGCCUUUUUAUCCUUUUCUUUGGCAACCAUGAACCUUAACCUACAUUACAACCUUUAAAAAGUCCAUAUUGGAUCAGGUAUGAAAGCUUAAACUUGAAGAGUUUCUCUUGAAAAAAUAAACAUGAAUUUUUUUAGUUUUCUUUUUUGAAAAAAAAAAUUCUUUUCCUCUUUUGGAUUAGAUUUGAAUUAUCAAGUGCAGGGUUGUAAAAAAAAAAAAGAAAGAGAAAAAUAGAAAUAAAAAUGGCUGUAGGGUGAAAACCCUCAAAAAGACAGUCUAGAGCCAACCCUGAAAGGUCACUCCUAAUGCUAAGUAUGGUGGAUGCUAAACAAAAGUAAAGCCAAACCUUUUGAAAGAUCUGAAAUAUCAAAGCCAUAGAAGUUUGAGAUGGGUUGAUUAUUCCUAAAUAACCUUUUAAAAUCUCAAGCCCUUACAACUGAUCUUGACAUAUAUCAAAAUGUCGCAUUUGAAGACUAAAAAAAAUGUUGAAUAUGUUUGAUUUUCAAGGAAUUCGUGCUUUUAGAAAAGCUUGUGUUUCAUUUGUGAGCUUGCAUGCCUCUUUCACUCCCUUCAAGGAUUGGAACCUUUUGAAUCAACAUCGCUAUCUACAAAAUUAUUACAUCCAUUUGGAAAGAAAAUCCUCACCUUUUUCAUUUUUGAUAGGGAUCGCCAAAUUUAAAAAAAAAAAGAAAAAAACUUUGAGCCCAGUUUAUCUGGCCAUCAAUGAGGUUUUAAGCCCAGUUUAUCUGGCCAUCAAUAAAAAUUUAAGCCCAGUUUAUCUGGCCAUCAAUGAAAAUUUAAGCCUAGUUUAUCUGGCCUAAAAUAAAGUUUUAAGCUCAGUUUAUCUAGCCAUCAAUGAAGCUUUAAACCCAAUUUAUCUGACUACAAAUGAAGUUUUAAGCACAGUUUAUCUGGCCAUUGAGAAAAAACUUUAAGCCCAGUUUAUCUGUUCUCAAAUAAAAUUUUAAACCCAAUUUAUCUGGCCAUUAAUGAAGCUUUAAGCCCAAUUUAUCUGGCCAUUAAUGAAGCUUAAGCCCAGUUUAUCUAGCCAUCAAUGACAUUUAAGCCCAGUUUGUCUGGCCAUCAAUAAAAUUUUAAGUCUAGUUUAUCUGGCCAUCAAUAAGGUUUUAAGCCCAAUUUAGUUGGCCUUCAAUGAAUUUAAGCCCAGUUUAUUUGGCCCCAAAAGAAGUUUUAGAGUUUCAAAAUUCUAUUCAGAAUAAAAAUUCUCGAUGCAUAACCUUUUGAAAGAUCUUGCAUUUGCAUUACUUGUAUCAUGAGAAAGACAUUUAACCUAAAAAAAAUAUGGAGAUAUUCAAAUUUGCAUCGCUCAUCUGUGCAUCAUGAAAGGGAUAUUUUCAUUUGCAUCACUUACAUCUGUACCACAAGAAAGACAUUCGCAUUUGCAUCACUUGCAUUUGCACUCGCACAAGAUAUUUGCAUUCGCACCAUAAGAAAAUUCGUAUUUGCACUACCAUGGCAUCCGUAUCAUAAGAAAAGGGAUUUGUAGGAGCAUUUACAUGAAAAGAACAUUGUCAUUGUCAAAUAUAGUUACAUCAAGCAUUCGCAUUCUUGCAUUUGCAUUGAGAUUUGUAUUUUUAUCAACAUUUCCAUUAGCAUCAUUUGAUCAAGAUGAACAUUUGUAUCAUUGAUUGCAUUCAUUAACUCUGAUUGGAAAAAAAUAUAUUUUCAAAAAAUUUUUUUUUUUAAAGUUUCAUUGCCUCUGAUUAUGAGGAACAUUUAAAAAUUUUGAAAUUUGUAAGACCUCCGGGCAUAAUCUCUAAAAGCCUCUGCGCAUGACUUUCAAGAUUAAAAGAUUUUCAAAUUUUUAAAGUUUCAUUGCCCUGAUUAUGAGGAGCAUUUAAAGAUUUUAAAAUUUGUAAGACCUUCGGGCAUAAUCUCUAAAAGACUCUGCGCAUGACUUUCAAGAUUAAAAGAUUUUCAAAUUUUAAAGUUUCAUCGCCUCUGAUUAUGAGGAGCAUUUAAAGAUUUUGAGAUUUGUAAGACCUUCGGGCAUAAUCUCUAAAAGCCUCUACGCAUGACUUUCAAGAUUAAAAGAUUUUCAAAAUUUAAAGUUUCAUCGCCUCUGAUUAUAAGGAACAUUUAAAGAUUUUGAGAUUUGUAAGACCUCCAAGCAUAAUCUUUAAAAGCCUCUACGCAUGAUUUCAAGAUUAAAAAAUUUUCAAAUUUUAAAGUUUCAUCGCCUCUGAUUAUGAGGAGCAUUCAAAGAUUUUGAGAUUUGUAAGACCUCAAGGCAUAAUCUCUAAGACCUCCAGGCAUGAUUCUGUAAGACUUUCAGGCAUGAUUUCUAAGGCCUUCGGGCAUAAAUUUGAUUCGCGAUGUUAUCCCGAUCAAUUUUUUAUCUUUUGACUUGCGGUGUUAUCCCAAUCAAUUCUGUAAGACCUCCGGGCAUGAUUUUUAAGACCUUCGGAUAAUUCUGUAAGACCUCCGGACAUAAUUCUGUAAGACCUCUGGACAUAAUUUUUAAGAUCUCUGGAAAUGAUUUUUAAGACCUCCGGGCAUAAUUUUGAUUCACGGUGUUAUCCCGAUCGAUUUUUUAUCUUUUAACUUGUGAUUUUAUUUCAAUCGAUUCUGUAAGACCUCUAGGCAUGAUUUAUAAGACCUCCGGGCAUAAAUUUGAUUCGUGGUGUUAUCCCGAUCAAUUCUUUAUCUUUUGACUUACGGUGUUAUCCUAAUCAAUUCUGUAAAACUUCCGGGCAUAAUUUUUAAGACCUCCAAGCAAUUCUGUAAGACUUUCGGGUAUGAUUCUGUAAGACUUUCGGGCAUGAUUUGUAAGACCUUCGGGCAUAAAUUCGGUUCACGAUAUUAUCUCGAUCGAUUUAUUAUUUUUCGACUUGUGGUAUGAUCCCAAUCGUUUUGUGUUUUUAAAAACAAAAAAAUGAUUCGGAUAAAAUCGUUGUCUUUAUCUUUGUCCUAUUCCUGAUUUAAAGUAAUGUGCAAAGAGAGGCAGUUGUAGACAUCAAUUUUGUCCGGGUUUACUGUUUUAAUUUUAAUAAUAAUAAUAAUAAUUUAAAAUAAAAUAAUAAUUAUUAAUUAUAUAAAAAAACAUAAAAAAUAAAAAAAAAAGAGAAAAAAAUAAAAAGUAGGGUGGUUGGCUUGCUGUCGCCCCCGACCUGCCACCCUACAGCCCUCUGACCAGCCCCCACACUCACCAGCCUACAGCCACUUACAGCCAUCCUACAAUCACCUAGAUCCCCUUUUGAACCCAUUCAAAUAUGGAUCUGAACCCCUUCUAAAAAAAAAACCCCUCUCGAACCCCUUCAACCUCUCUCUCGGAGAUCCCUUCUCGAAAUCUUUCGGACAGCUCUUCACCUCCAGACACACUGCCUACAAUACCCUCUCGGACACCUAGACACACCAAAGAAAAUCCUUCAACCCACACCAACCAUGAAAACAGAAACACAAAAACAGAAACAAAAAAAAAGUCAAACAGUCAUCCCCGUAAGGAGGAACCUCAGCACCAGAAGGUCCUGUAAACAAGCAAAGAAAUCAUCAGUGUCUUUUUGAUAAAAAAAAGAGAGAAAGAGAAGGAAACAAAAAUUUUGAGCCUUGAUCUACGCUGAUCGGGGCUGUUUCUGGUAAAACGAACGUCGGAUCUGGGAAGAUCUCGUUGAAAAAAGCCUCUGAAAAAAUUUUAGUAAUUUUUCAGCCACCGGCGACCACCAUUGACAGCGACCAGUGCGGUGCUCCGACGGCCGGACGGUGAGACUGCUGGAGCUCUCCCCCCAGAGCUCUCAUUUUCUCUUUCUCUUUUUUUUUUUGAAAACAGAAACCAAAUGAACAAAAUUUUUUUUUUCGAUUAUAUAUAAAGGAUUAAGAAGCAAAACAACGUCGUUUUGGUCAAGUAGGAUCCGCGCGUUGACCCGGAUCCGACCCGGGAUCUGCGCAACCCAACCCGUGGACCCGCUCUCCCAACGACUGUUGACCGGUCCGGUUAGGUAAAAAAUAAUUUUUUUUUAAAUUUUCUAAAUUUUUUUAUAUUAUUAUUUUUGUUAUUUUAAGUAUAUUUUUAUAUUUAUCCAUGAUAAAUUUAUAAAUUUGUUAAAAUAAAUGUUUAAUUGUUUUAAUAAUAAUAAAAUUAAAAACAAGUAAUAAUUAAAAAUAUACUAAAAUGCUCAAAAAAAAAAUUUUAUUAUUUUUCUUGCCUAGAUGUUGGAGGGAAUAAAAAUAUUUUUCUAAAAAUAAUUCCGCCUAGAUGUUGGAGAAUUAUUGUUAAUAAUUUUUCAUAAAAAAUAUAUAUAAGAAAUUUUAAUUAGUUUUCAAAAGUUAUAAAAAAUUGAACCUACUCCGAAAGUCUGCCUAGAUGAUAGAGAUUUUUAGAGAUAUUCGCGCUUUACUUAAACCUUAAAUACUAAUUUUUAAUUUUCAAAAUCUUAAGUUUUUAAAACCCCCUAAAACCAAAAUCCCCUUAAAAUCCAAAAUCUUAAAAUACGAAACCUUAAAAUCCAAACUCUUAAAAUCCGAAAUCCUUAAAAUCAAAACCCCCCCAAAAUCCAAAAUCCUAAACCUUUAAACUCUUAAAUCCAAACCCCAAAAUCCAAAAUCUCUAAAAUCCAAGCCUUUAAAUCAAAACCUCAAAACCUAAAACCCCAAAAUCUUCAAACACUAAAAUCAAAACCCUAAACCUUCCAUAUCCUAAAAUUCAAGCUUUAAAACCCUCUAAACCUUAAAACCAAACCUUCAAAACCUCUAUUUAAGCCCUCACUCAAAACUUCCUAAAAAUCCUAAGGAUACGUGUAAAAAUUCUAUUUGAAGCAAUUUGUUCUCGAAUGCGCCUAGAUGAUGGGGUAUUUAGGAAAUUUUACUUCGUUAAGUCUUUUCAUACGAUUUCUUAAUUUGCUUUAAUAAUAAGAUUAAUGAAUAAAAAGUAUAAUAAAAAAUUGGGAUCUNNNNNNNNNNNNNNNNNNNNNNNNNNNNNNNNNNNNNNNNNNNNNNNNNNNNNNNNNNNNNNNNNNNNNNNNNNNNNNNNNNNNNNNNNNNNNNNNNNNNNNNNNNNNNNNNNNNNNNNNNNNNNNNNNNNNNNNNNNNNNNNNNNNNNNNNNNNNNNNNNNNNNNNNNNNNNNNNNNNNNNNNNNNNNNNNNNNNNNNNNNNNNNNNNNNNNNNNNNNNNNNNNNNNNNNNNNNNNNNNNNNNNNNNNNNNNNNNNNNNNNNNNNNNNNNNNNNNNNNNNNNNNNNNNNNNNNNNNNNNNNNNNNNNNNNNNNNNNNNNNNNNNNNNNNNNNNNNNNNNNNNNNNNNNNNNNNNNNNNNNNNNNNNNNNNNNNNNNNNNNNNNNNNNNNNNNNNNNNNNNNNNNNNNNNNNNNNNNNNNNNNNNNNNNNNNNNNNNNNNNNNNNNNNNNNNNNNNNNNNNNNNNNNNNNNNNNNNNNNNNNNNNNNNNNNNNNNNNNNNNNNNNNNNNNNNNNNNNNNNNNNNNNNNNNNNNNNNNNNNNNNNNNNNNNNNNNNNNNNNNNNNNNNNNNNNNNNNNNNNNNNNNNNNNNNNNNNNNNNNNNNNNNNNNNNNNNNNNNNNNNNNNNNNNNNNNNNNNNNNNNNNNNNNNNNNNNNNNNNNNNNNNNNNNNNNNNNNNNNNNNNNNNNNNNNNNNNNNNNNNNNNNNNNNNNNNNNNNNNNNNNNNNNNNNNNNNNNNNNNNNNNNNNNNNNNNNNNNNNNNNNNNNNNNNNNNNNNNNNNNNNNNNNNNNNNNNNNNNNNNNNNNNNNNNNNNNNNNNNNNNNNNNNNNNNNNNNNNNNNNNNNNNNNNNNNNNNNNNNNNNNNNNNNNNNNNNNNNNNNNNNNNNNNNNNNNNNNNNNNNNNNNNNNNNNNNNNNNNNNNNNNNNNNNNNNNNNNNNNNNNNNNNNNNNNNNNNNNNNNNNNNNNNNNNNNNNNNNNNNNNNNNNNNNNNNNNNNNNNNUUAAAAAAAAGAGGAAAAGAUGUUAGAUAUGAAUAAAGCCCCAUGUGAUUAAGUGCCAAGGCUAGAGAAAUGUUUAAAAAAAUAACAAAAAAAAAAAAAGAAUUUUUGAGUCUAAGAUGAAUUGGCGAUCACUAUUAAAAAAUUUUCAAAUACCUAAAUGCCAAUCUGCUCAUUCAGUUGACCCAUUUCAUCAGUCAUGCCCCUUUGAUAACCCUGAAUUCGGAUUUGUGAACCUUAUUGAUAUUGUUGUUAUAUCAAAAGGCAAUUUUCUUUUCUAAGGCAAUGAACAAAUGAAAUAGCCAUUGAAAAAAUGUGUGGUUCCUAAAAAAUCAAGUCUAUAUGACUUUCUUUUUUUGAAAUUCAAAUGUGAUAAUUUGAUAUGACAAGAUUAUGCUGCAGUUUCAAAAUUUUCAAAUCCAAGUCUUGUAAAAUGCACUCAAGCAUACUACAUUUUAGCUUUUUAUCCCAAAAUUAACCCGAUCCUUUGUCUUGAGGUAUAUUUGUCAGAAAAGAAAUACCUCAUUACCUCUAAGGCAACUUAAGUUAUGAUUAACCUUUUUGUUCUCUUUUUGUGGAGUAACUUAGAUCAUUUGAUACCUUAAACAUGUUUACCCCACAUAAUCUUUUUCUUAUCCAUUUCAUAUGACCUUUCUCUUGUAAUUACUUUCAUUAUGGGUGGUUUGCUAAAAUGGGACAUCUUCCAUGAAACGUGUUACUGACAAAAUGAAUCUAGGUGUAAGCUAUGGGGGCAUAACAAAAUAACAACAAAAAAAAGAAAAAAUAGGUUAUGACAUCAUGCACUAAAAAAUUUGAGCAAAUCCAAAAAGGUCAUGACAAAGUCAAGGUUUUGAAAAAAAAAAAAAAACCAAAAAAAAUUUCUUGAGAUUAAAAAGAAAAAUACCUUUUUUCCCAAGUUCAUUAUCCUAAAGAGUAGUAUUCAAUUUAAGUGUUUAUGCUUGAAGUGACAAAUGGCCAUCUUUCAUUAUCUCUUCACAAAAAUAAAAAUUUAUCUCUUGUUACCCUUUUGAGCCUAAUUGAAUUCUUUCAAAAUAAACCGUAACUAAGGAUCACCUUUCAUAUUGGAGGAAAAAAAUGCGUUUGAAGGAUAAGAAUGAGAAUGUCCAAUGAAAUCUCAUAUGAUAGGGGCACAAACCCAAUAUAAAACUUCAUAAAAGUUUUGAAUCCACUCAGUGAAAGGAUGCAAAAAAAAAAAAAAAAGAAAGAAAGAAUAAAAAAAAAAGUGAAUGAGUGGAAAGCAUAAAAUAGAAUAUAUCUUAGAGUGUAUCCUUCCAAUGAAAAAUGAUCCUUAGCUUCAAAUACCGUUAAAUACUUAUUUUGGGCCUUUUUAUCCUUUUCUUUGGCAACCAUGAACCUUAACCUACAUUACAACCUUUGAAAAGUCCAUAUUGGAUCAGGUAUGAAAGCUUAAACUUGAAGAGUUUCUCUUGAAAAAAUAAACAUGAAUUUUUUAGUUUUCUUUUUUGAAAAAAAAAAUUCUUUUCCUCUUUUGGAUUAGAUUUGAAUUCUUAAGUGCAUGGUUGUAAAAAAAAAAAAAGAAAGAGAAAAAUAGAAAUAAAAAUGGCUCUAGGGUGAAAACCCUCAAAAGGGCAGUCUAGAGCCAACCCUGAAAAGUCACUCCUAAUGCUAAGUAUGGUGGAUGCUAAACAAAAAUAAAGCCAAACCUUUUGAAAGAUCUGAAAUAUCAAAGUCAUAGAAGUUUGAGAUGGGUUGAUUAUUCCUAAAUAACCUUUUAAAAUCUCAAGCCCUUACAACUGAUCUUGACAUAUAUCAAAAUGUCGCAUUUGGAGACUAAAAAAAAUAUUGAAUAUGUUUGAUUUUCAAGGAAUUCGUGCUUUUAGAAAAGCUUGUGUUUCAUUUGUGAGCUUACAUGCCUUUUUCACUCCCUUCAAGGAUUGGAACCUUUUGAAUCAACAUCGCUAUCUAUAAAACUAUUACAUCCAUUUGGAAAGAAAAUCCUCACCUUUUUCAUUUUUGAUAGGGAUCACCAAAUUUUUUAAAAAAAAAGGAAAAAAACUUUAAGCCCAGUUUAUCUAGCCAUCAAUAAGGUUUUAAGCCCAGUUUAUCUGGCCAUCAAUAAAAAUUUAAGCCCAGUUUAUCUGGCCAUCAAUGAAAAUUUAAGUCCAGUUUAUCUGGCCUCAAAUGAAGUUUUAAGCUCAGUUUAUCUGGCCAUUAAUGAAGCUUAAGCCCAGUUUAUCUAGCCAUCAAUGACAUUUAAGCCCAGUUUAUCUGGCCAUCAAUAAAAUUUUAAGCCUAGUUUAUCUGACCAUCAAUGAGGUUUUAAGCCCAAUUUAGUUGGCCUUCAAUGAAUUUAAGCCCAGUUUAUUUGGCCCCAAAAGAAGUUUUAGAGUUUCAAAAUUCUAUCCAGAAUAAAAAUUCUCGAUGCAUAACCUUUUGAAAGAUCUUGCAUUUGCAUUACUUGUAUCAUGAUAAAGACAUUUAACCUAAAAAAAAUUAAGAUAUUCAAAUUUGCAUCGCUCAUCUGUGCAUCAUGAAAGGGAUAUUUUCAUUUGCAUCACUUACAUCUGUACCACAAGAAAGACAUUCGCAUUUGUAUCACUUGUAUUUGCACUCGCACAAGAUAUUUGCAUUUGCACCAUAAGAAAAUUCGUAUUUGCACUACCAUGGCAUCCGCAUCAUAAGAAAAGGAAUUUGUAAGAGCAUUUACAUGAAAAGAACAUUGUCAUUGUCAAAUAUAGUUAAAUCAAGCAUUCGCAUUCUUGCAUUUGCAUUGAGAUUUGUAUUUUUAUCAACAUUUCCAUUAGCAUCAUUUGAUCAAGAUAGACAUUUGUAUCAUUGGUUGCAUUCAUUAACUCUGAUUGAAAAAAAUAUAUUUUAAAAAAAAUAAAAUUUUUAAAGUUUCAUUGCCUCUGAUUAUGAGGAGCAUUUAAAAAUUUUGAGAUUUAUAAGACCUCCGCGCAUAAUCUCUAAAAGCCUCUGCGCAUGACUUUCAAGAUUAAAAGAUUUUUAAAUUUUUAAAGUUUCAUUGCCUCUGAUUAUGAAGAGCAUUUAAAGAUUUUAAAAUUUGUAAGACCUCCGGGCAUAAUCUCUAAAAGACUCUGCGCAUAACUUUCAAGAUUAAAAGAUUUUCAAAUUUUAAAGUUUCAUCGCCUCUGAUUAUGAGGAACAUUUAAAGAUUUUGAGAUUUGUAAGACCUUCGGACAUAAUCUCUAAAAGCCUCUGCGCAUGACUUUCAAGAUUAAAAGAUUUUCAAAAUUUAAAGUUUCAUCGCCUCUGAUUAUAAGGAGCAUUUAAAGAUUUUGAGAUUAGUAAGACCUCCAAGCAUAAUCUCUAAAAGCUUUUACGCAUAACUUUCAAGAUUAAAAAAUUUUAAAAUUUUAAAGUUUCAUUGCCUCGAUUAUGAGGAGCAUUCAAAGAUUUUGAGAUUUAUAAGACCUCCGGACAUAAUCUCUAAGAUCUCUGGACAUAAUUUUUAAGACCUCUUGACAUGAUUUUUAAGACCUCCGGACAUAAUUUUGAUUCACAGUGUUAUCUCGAUCGAUUCUUUAUCUUUUAACUUGUAAUGUUAUUCCAAUCGAUUCUGUAAGACCUCUGGGCAUGAUUUAUAAGACCUCUGGGCAUAAAUUUGAUUCGCGGUGUUAUCCCAAUCAAUUUUUUAUCUUUUGACUUACGGUGUUAUCUCAAUCAAUUCUGUAAGACAUCCGGGCAUGAUUUUUAAGACUUUCGAGCAAUUCUGUAAGACCUCCGGGUGUGAUUUGUAAGAUUUUCGGGCAUAAAUUCGAUUCGUGAUAUUAUCUCAAUUGAUUUAUUAUUUUUCGACUUGUGGUAUCAUCCCAAUCGUUUUGUGUUUUUAAAAACAAAAAAAAAAAUGAUUCGGAUAAAAUCGUUGUCUUUGUCUUUGUCCUAUUCCUGAUUCUCAGUAAUGUGUAAAGAGUGGCAGCUGUAGACAUCGAUUUUGUCCGGAUUUACUGUUUUAAUUUUAAUAAUAAUAAUAAUAAUUUAAAAUAAAAUAAUAAUUAUUAAUUAUAUAAAAAAACAUAAAAAAAUAAAAAAAAAGAGAAAAAAAAUAAAAAGUAGGGUGGCUGGCUUGCUGUCGCCCCCGACGAGCCAUUCUACAGCCCUCUGACCAGCCCCCAUACUCAUCAGCCUACAGCCACUUACGGUUACCCUACAAUCACCUAGAUCCCCUUUUGAACCCAUUCAAAUACGGAUCUGAACCCCUUAUAAAAAAAAACCUUCUCGAACCCUUUUCAACCUCUCUCUCGGAUAUCCCUUCUCUAAAUCUUUCGGACAAUUCUUCACCUCCAGACACACUACCUACAAUACCCUCUCGGACACCUAGACACACCAAAGAAAAUCCUUCAACCCACACCAACCACGAAAAUAGAAACACAAAAAUAGAAACAAAAAAAAAAGUCAAACAGUCCUCCCCGUAGGGAGGAACCUCAGCACCAGAAAGUCCUGUAAACAAGCAAAGAAAUAAUCAGUGUCUUUUUCAUAAAAAAAAAGAGAGAAAAAGAAAGGAAACAGAAACUUUGAGCCUUGAUCUACGCUGAUCGGAGCUGUUUCUGGUAAAACGAACAUCGGAUCUAGGAAGAUCUCGUUGAAAAAAACUUCUGAAAAACUUCUAAAACGGUGGCCGGACGGCGAGACUGCUGGAGCUCUCCCCCCAGAGUUCUCUCUCUCUCUUUCUCUUUUUUUUUUUUUGAAAACAGAAACCAAAUGAACAAAAUUUUUUUUUUCGGUUAUAUAUAAAGGAUUAAGAAGCAGAACGACGUCGUUUCGAUCAAGGAGGAUCCGCGCAUUAACCCGGAUCUGAUCCGGGAUCCGCGCAACCCGACCCGUGGACCCGCUCACCUAACGAUUGUUGACCAGUUCGGUUCAGGUAAAAAUUUUUUUUUUUUGAAUUUUUUGAAUUUUUUUAUAUUAUUAUUUUUGUUAUUUUAAGUAUAUUUUUAUAUUUAUGCAUGAUAAAUUUAUAAAUUUGUUAAAAUAAAUGUUUAAUUGUUUUAAUAAUAAUAAAAUUAAAAACAAGUAAUAAUUAAAAAUAUACUAAAAUGCUCCAAAAAAAAAAUUUUUAUUAUUUUCUCUGCCUAGAUGUUGGAUGGAAUAAAAACAUUUUUCUAAAAAUAAUUCCGCCUAGAUGUUGGAGAAUUAUUGUUAAUAAUUUUUCAUAAAAAAUAUAUAUAAGAAAUUUUUAAUUAGUUUUCAAAAGUUAUAAAAAAUUGAACAUGCUCUAAAAGUCUGCCAAGAUGAUGGAGAUUUUUAGAGAUGUUUGCGUUUUACUUAAACCUUAAAUACUAAUUUUUAAUUUUCAAAAUCCUAAGUUUCUAAAACCCCCUAAAACCCAAAAUCCCCUUAAAAUCCAAAAUCUUAAAAUCUGAAACCUUAAAAUCCAAACCCCAAAAUCCAAACUUUUAAAAUCCGAAAUCCUUAAAAUCAAAACCCCCCCAAAAUUCAAAAUCUCUAAAAUCCAAGCCUUUAAAUCAAAACCUCAAACCUCAAAACCCAAACCCCAAAAUCUUCAAACACUAAAAUCAAAACCCUAAACCUUCCAUAUCCUAAAAUUCAAGCUUUAAAACCCUCUAAACCUUAAAACCAAACCUUCAAAACCUCUACUUAAGCCCUCACUCAAAACUUCCUAAAAAUCCUAAGGAUACGUGUAAAAAUUCUAUUUGAAGCAAUUUGUUCUCGAAUGCUCGCCUAGAUGAUGGGGUAUUUAAGAAAUUUUACUUCGUUAAGUCUUUUCAUACGAUUUCUUAAUUUGCUUUAAUAAUAAGAUUAAUGAAUAAAAAGUAUAAUAAAAAAUUGGGAUCUUAAAUAUAAACAGUCGCACCUAAGCUCUACCUAGAUGUUGGAGAGUCGGGGUGGUCUCAUUAUACUUAAGAAUCCAACUAUUAAAUUGCAUUUCAUUUCUCAUGACAUUCAUUAGUAUACAUACAUUAGCAUGUUAUUAUCAAUAAUUGUCUACAUUAUUUUAUCUUUAAUUUACUGUUUGAUAAUAAAAUAUUUAUAAUAAAAAGAAUAAUACUUUAAAAAAAUUUUGUGAUAUUAUAAAAUAAAAUAAAAAUAACAUUCCGAAAGAAAAAUUUUUUAGUACUCUUCCUAGAUGUUGGAGAGUCAUUAACAAUUAUUUUCUAUAAAGAUUGUUAUUUCAUUUUAAGGAUUAUUGUGUUAAAUCUUAAGCGAAAAUAGUUAUUUCAAAUUCUGCCUAAAUGUUGAAGAAUUUUAAGAUAAUUCUUUAACUUAAAGAUUUUAUCAAUAUUUUUAAAUAAAAAUUUUAGCAAAAAUAUUUUUUUAAAAACGAAGGGAAUUAGUAUUAAAUUUCAAGUCAAAAUCAUUUUUAUCCAACAUUGAAAAUAGCGCAUAGUUGAAUGGUACCAAUUUAUGGGCGUUGUGGGGGUGCUAAUCCUUCCCCACACGUAAUCGACUUUCGAACCCAACCUGAUUAUUCGUUGACCAAAAUUUAUCUUUUUGAUAAACUUUAAAUCCAUUUUUAUAGUUUUAUUAAAAAUAUAAAUUUUUGGAUGGUCAAUCACACCCUAACAAAGAUUGGUGGUGACCUCUCCCCUUUUAUUUUUCUCGAUUUUAAAAAACUCAUUUUACGUCUGACGAUCUCAAAACCGUUACGAUAAUUGUCUCGGUAAACGGUGACGUGAAUAUACUACUAAUAUACUCUGCAAUGGUGCAGGUUGUGUACUACAAGAGAAUCAGUCGUGUGUUCUUCAUUGAAGCCAUCCCAAAGGCACCAUCAGGCAAAAUUUUGAGAAAGGAAUUGAGAGCUAAACUUUCUAUUGGAAACUGUUGAAACUUGUUCCCACAUCCCCCAUUUCCAUGGUAGUUUGAAAUAAUACACCAGGAGUGCAAGGGACCCUGUUAUAAGGAAAUGGGACUGCUGAUAUAUGUUCCUCCAAUCUGGCUAUAAAACGUGAGUUUGGAAAGAAUGUAAAUUAUGAGAUAAAGAAUUCAAUUUGCUAGAAGACAUAUAUAAUUGUUUAAUAUCCUGUUUUUUUGUUUUUUUUUCUUUUUUGGUAAAUGGAAGAAGAUGUAAGUUUCAUUUAUUUGUAAGAAUAUUAUCUCAUGGCAUAUUGUUUCGGAUAAAGCAAUUUGAAUUCUUAACUACUCUUUAAUUUCUAGUUUUUUCUAUUUUUUUUAUUAAUUUUGUCUGCUCUGCUCCAUUAUGAUCAAUAAGUAGGCCAAAAGAACAUUAAUGAUGCAUGAAACAAAAAAAUGUUCAACAAAUUUAAUCAAAAAAAUGUAGUAAUCAAAUUUGUGGAGUAGCUUUGUAAGCCAAUGUUAGAAUCCAAAAACUGACCAACUGGUCCUGAAAUCCAAACUCCACUUGCAUAAAACAGUUACCAUGGAAAAGAUUAAACAAAGAAAACUGUUCACUGUUUAGGUUGCUUGAUGCCUUUUUGGGACACGCAUGGCAAACAUUAGAGAUAGAAGUUCACAAUAUAUAUUGCCAGGAUGCAAUAUGCAUUAACUAUGCCUUAAUCUUAGCACAAUUACUGAGAUUUAAGAUAUAUGGUCCCCCAAUUGUGCAAACAAUAAUUUUCAAUCUGAAAUCUCGCCAUUCACUUAUCUUGUUCAUGCUUGGUUCCCAAAUCCCAAACUUCUAUCAUCUCUUCAGGACAGACAAUUAACAUUUAAUUCCAUGUGCAGAAAAAAGCUGGCAAAUCGAACAGACUCUUCCAUGAAAUUUAUCAGAUCCUACUAUUAUAUAUAUACUCACAGCUCACAGAUUACUUUAUAGCACUUCCCCAAUUACCCAAAAAGGAUUCAGAGGGUUGGGUAAGUGAAGGAAAAAGAAAAAAGUAGUAUACUUUAAAAAGGCAUAAUACCGAGUUACAUUUAACCUUAACAGCAACAGGCAAGCAGCUAUUGAUAUAACAUAUACCAACUCCAUCGAUAUGAUGAUUAUUGUCAGCUUGGUGAAAAAGCAAAAGUGCGGCAUUAAACUUCUCCUGUCCCCCUCAAAACCCAAUAGGAUUACGCCAAUCAGGCCAAAAAGACAAAAGGAAACUAGGAGAAAAUUGUAGAUAUACCACACUAUAGCCCCAUAGAACCAAACAGGAUUAACAUUGAUUGAUGAAGCCUAUAAUUUGAGGAAGGGUGUGCGUUUGUUGCCUGCUAGUCAUCACCAUGGAUGUACCAGCAAAGGAGCAUAGUGGCACAGCGGCGCAGUAUGUAGAGUCGAGCACGUUGCUGCUUAACCAAGGAAGCACACUUGGUGGAGAAACCAUGUCCCUUUCUCUCUGCGGAGCCCUUGACUCCACAGUUGUAUUGCUGGGACUGAAACUCUGCCAUCGCUAAUACAAAAGUAUUUUACUAGAUUUGCUAGAAAAAAAGCUCAAAGUAGAGCUUGAGGCCGUGUGGGUUACGGGUAAAGUAUAUAUAAAAUUACAAUCCCAAAAUCCAAGAAAGGUUAACUGGACUAUGAAGGAAGCAAGUGAACAUGGUCAGGUUCAAAAACUGAGGGAUUUGCAUUUGCAUGGAAGAUGCAGCAUAGUUUUCUAUACAAAGGGGGAGUGAACGUGGUCUUUAGGCUUUUAUUGCCUCUGGGUUCAAAUACCAUCCCAUUACCUGUAACACCUUCCUGAUAAUUAAUAAUUAUUAAUUAACUAAUGUGGAUUAGAGAAGUGGCAAAGGUGAGCAUGAAAAGUGGAGAGCUGUUUAAUGAAGACAAGGCAAGGGGUUUGGCUUAUGGGAACAGUGUCACGGCAAGAUGGCCUCAAUUUUGAGGCAGGAAGUUGGUUUGGUUGGAUUACUUAGAUUUUCUCCACCGUGGGUCAUACGCCCAACUCUCUCUCUCUCUGCUUCGUAUGCGCACAACUAACAAGUUUUUCCCACUUUGAAAGAAUAAAAUCUUGAGCAAGUUUUUUGUCCUCCAAAUUAUGGAAAUAUCCCUGAAUGAAAGACGUGGAAAUCAAUCUGUCAGAAUCCAAGUAUUAUAUCAUUGGAGGUGAAAGAAUCAAAAGACCAACUGAAUUUCUUGAUUCAUAAAAUAUUGUACAGCUGAGUUUGCUUUAAGUAAAAGAUCACAAGAACUCUGAGCAGGUUCUUUGCGAGGAAACCAACAGUUAUCAGACUAACAUUACUCUGUUGACUAUACAGUGAUGAUGCAUGCUUGCUUGCCUAGACAGCUCAAGCUAACGUUUUCAGAGUAUAUUGCAUGAUCAUUCGAACAUAUUUGGAUACGGAAUAUUUUAUCCUUUCCAAGUAUCACCGUUUCGAGCUAGUCAAUGCAGUACAUCUCUAUCUCCACAGUCCACACUCAAAUCCCUGAUGCAGAACAUGCAUCCGUUGUCACCAUCACCAUAAAAUGCUACUCCUGGUAUCUCAAACACAUACACAAUAAAACUUGAACCUAACAUAUCAAAGUUAAAUUUUAAUAUUUGCAACUUUUUUUUCUUAAAUUACAACUUUUUAUAAAAAAUAAAUUAUAUAAUGAUUUAGUUUAUUUUAUAAAUUUCAUUUCUUAGGUCUUAAUAUUCGAAAUUUGAAACAUUUAAGACAAAAUCUAUAUAUAUAUAUAUGUAUAUAAUAUGAACAUUAAAAGAAUCUUUGUCUUACGAUUAAAAAAAAAAAAUCUUUGUCACAUUUGGCUCUUAUCCUUCUCCAAAAGACGUCAUAACUAUCUGAGGCAUUAAAAAAAAAAAAAAGAAAGCCUUUGGUUUUCUUCAAUUCUCAUAUAAAAUAUACACCAAUUAGAAAGACAAUUAUGAUUUGACUUAACACAAGUCACACCCUUUCUAUCUAAAUAGAUUUUAAGCUUAUAGUUAUUAUUCAUUAAUUACAUCAAAAUUUCUUUGUUUUAUACUUUUUAAUCAUUUUUUGUAAAUAAAAACUUUAUACGCUAUAUGAUGAAACUAAUUCUCAGUUUAUUACUGAGAUAUCUUCUCAAAAAUAUUUUUGGUUGAUCGUCAAUAUGUUCUUUACUGAUUGUUUUUCAUUUCAUUGUCAAAUAUUUUUUGCAUUUUUAAUUUUUAUUAAACAACAAAUGGCAUAUUAAAUGAAAAUAAAGAAUUCAAAUUCAAUAUCUUCACAUCAUAAACUUUGAUUUUAAUCUUUAUAUUAAGAUUUCAUUAACACUUUCAUUAUUAUAAUUUUUUGUUGAAUCUAAAAAUAUCUAUUAUUUUUUAAGGAUUUAUGUUUGAUAUACUACCAAUUAUAAAUGGUAUAAAUUUUAUAUGUUAUUAAUAACUUAAAUAAUACCGCAUCAUUAAUGAAGUGAAUUAAAUAAUAUUAUUUUAUUAUUGAAUAAAUUUUUUAAAAAAUAGUAAGUUUUUGUAUAUUUAUUUUAAAAGUUAAUAUUUGUUCAUUAAUUAAAUAAUAUUAUUUUAUUUACUGAGAUCAUAUUAAAUCUAUACAUUAAUAAUGAAUCAAAUAUAAAUUUUUUUUAACAAAAAAUCAAAUUUUAAAAAUAAAAAGUAAUGUUAUAUAUACUAAAAUUUGAACUUUAGAUAUCAUAUUUUACAAAUAUUUGUAUGAUCCAAUUUAAUUAAAUUUGUAUUUAAUCAAUGAUUAAUGAUAUCUCUGCAUAAGGUUGUGUAAAAUCUAUUGCCCUCAUUAAUGCAAAAGAGGCCAAUUUGUUCCAAUAAUUUGGCUUAUAAUUGAAAGCAUUUUUGAAAAAUUGAACUAGUUUUUGUUUAAGGAACCAAUGAAAGCUACAAAUGCGAUGGUGGGCCAAACAGUCUCGAGCGGGUUUCGUCGGCUUCAACUUUGGAAAAAAAAAAAAAUUGAUAAAAAAGUGGUGGUGGAUUAUGUCACUUUUACAAACUUUAAAAGUCUGGAAGGCUCUUCCACCCUAACACAGCCCUAACCACAGCUCCCCCAUUUUUCUUUUCAUUCUCCCAUUUGGUCCUUAUGACUAAUCAUCACCGUUUUUGUUUUGUUUUGUUUUAUUUUUUUUUCUUUUUUUAGUAAUCAUCACUGUAUCUUCCCUAUGUAUUAUGCUACGUGACAUUGUUAAAUUAUAUAUUAUGUAUAUAUAUAUGUAUUUUUUUUUUUUAUGUAAUGGUAGUGAAAUUUUUUAAUUUUAUAGAUAGAAUUAAGAGAGAUUGUUAUAUGUUUAAUUUUUCAUAAUAAUUUUUUUAUUAUAUUUAAAAAAUAUGUAUCAUCUUAUUAAGCAAAAUUUAAAAAUUUUACUAUCAAUAAAUAUGAUAAUUUAUGUAUGUAUAUAUAUACAUACAUAUAAUAAAUUUAUAAUAUAUGUAUAUAUGUAUGUGUGUGUGUUUGAACAUAUAUAUCAUUUGUUUUAUCUUACGUCUUUCAAUAAUUAUAAUUUGAGACAUUAAUUAAAAUAAUUAUAAUAUGAAACAUAUUAAUUAAAAAUUUUGGGAAUUGAAUCUUGAGAACGAGUGAGCAAUGAGAUUAACGAAAUAAGAAAAGAUUACUUUUUAUCGUUAUAUCGGCUGCAAUUACUAUGAGUGCAUUAAUCAUGAAUCAUAAAUUUUUUAAAACUUGGUUUAAUCUGAUUCGGCCAAAGUAAAUGCUAAAUGAGACAAAUUAUGAAUCCAACUUUUGAUUUGAAAAUUGAUUGUAGAAUUUCGAGUUUAGUUAUGGAAAUUUUAGCUUUGAUUUGAUUGAAAGUUUUGAAGUAUACCAAAUUUAUGGACUUAAUUUCUAAGUGAUGGAGUAUAAAAGUUGUUUAGGGUAUCAGACAAUAUUCCUUGUGGGUCAAAAGAAAAUUAAAAAAUACUAAAGUUAGAUAUAUAAUAAUCUUUAUAAGUAAUUAAAUAAUAAUUCAAAGGCUGUUCCAUUAUAAUCACUCACCACUGAACAUCUUUCAAAACUUAGAAUUAAAACAGUAUAUUUUUGUUUCUGUUUAAAAAUAAUAAUAAUAACGAUUGUCAAUUUAGACUGCUGUAGUUGGUUUGGGGGGUUAGGAAAACAUGACAAAAUGCAAAAUGAAGAGCUAUGAAUCUAGAAGCUGUACAUGUCCUUUGGAAAUGAUAAUUUUAUGUUCAUAUAUAUCACACUUUCCAAUUGCAUUAUUCUUAUCUAAUAAUGUAUAAGGGGCUAGAAUGUCAAAUCUUGCUUUAUACCCAAUUUUUUUCUUUUAUAUAUAUAUAUAUAUAUAUAUAUAUAUAUAUAACAUAAACACUUGAAUUAGAUGGCUUUUCUCAAAUUUACAUAAUCAAAAUCAAGUAGCCUUUAGGUAUAUAUGUUCAAGGAAUGCCUAUUUUGUUUGGAUAUAUAUAUUCAUAUUUUCAUGAUAAAUUGAAUUUGAUAUUUAAUGUAGUUGAUUCAUGUAAUUAUUUUUAAAAUUUAAAAAAUUUGAUAUUCAAAUUUUAAUAUUUAUAAUCUUUAUUAUUGUUCUUAAAUUGCUACUUUUUUUCUAUUAAAAAAAUUAAGAAUUUUCACGAAUAUUUUUUAUUACCACAUAAGUAAUUGGUGGAACUGAAAGGAAAAUUAAUUAGCAAAUUAAUUAAAGUUAACCUCAAUGCAAAAUGGAUGGAGGGAUAUGACAAGAAUAAUUCUCAUCAUGUAGUAGAUCAAAUUUUCAAUAUUCAAUCCUAAAAUCAUAUCAUAACAUCCCUCCUUUAUUGGGUUAUUCUUGAAUUUAAUAAUGUCACCUAAAAAAAUUUUGAAGGGUGUGAAAGCAGUCUUCUAAUGUUCAUUGAAAACCCUAAAAAGGAGCAGAAUCCAUUCAUUAAAAAAAAAAUGCAAGAUAUGGCAGCAUUGCUCAUUAAAGAUGCCAUCAGAACCAACCAUACUGUUUGAAUAAGAUAAACAGAAUCAACGUGAGCCAUAUCAUGCCAAGCAUCAAAAGGUUUCUACUGAAAUUGCUUAUUUGUUUGGGACCUUUUGGAGAUUAGCUUCUUUUAUUUUCGAUUCUAUAUAUGUUGUCCUUACUUAUUAUUCAACGAAAAACUGGUUAUGGGAUAUGUUGGUAUAAUAAAUAUAGGUCAAAUUAUGCUAAAGGUUUCUAUAUUUUACCAAAAUUUAAAAUUUAAUUUUUAUAUUAUAAUUUAUAUAAAUUUAAUCAUUAUAUUAUUUUAAUUAAAUAAUUUUAAUCUAAUAAUUAAUUUUUUAUUUUUUUAUUUAACGUGAUCAUUGACUUGAUAACAUGAACAUUGACUUUGCUAAUGUAGUGUUAGUUGCUAAUAUGACAACUUAAAUGGAUGAAAUCAGUUAUUAAAUUAUGUAAAUAAUCCAUAUGGUUACAUAAAUUUUGAAAUUUAAUUUAUCUAAUAUAAAAAAUAUUUAGAAUUUUUAAAAUAUUUUUAAAAUAUUAAAUUUUAAAAAUAUUUUAGUCCCUAAUAUAAAAAUAUUUUUUGAAAUAUAUUAAUUUUUUAUAUAUAAUUAAUUAUUAAUAAUAUCAUAUUAAUAAUAAUAUUAUUAUCAUCAUUUAUAUUAAUCAAUUAUAAAAUUAAUAAUUUAAAUUAAUAUAUCGAAAUUAAUAUUAUUUUAAUUAAUUUAAAUAUAUUAUAUAAUAAGAUUUAUAAUGAACCAAACUACUGAAUAGAAUUAUAUUUGUAAUAAAUUCGAAAUAGACCAUAAAUAAAAUUGACCUUUUCAACCAAUCAAACAAAAUAAAAGAUUCAAACCUAUAUUCUUACGAGCGAUGAGUAUCUAUUUAUUUAAAGGAUGAACUUUUAAUCCUAAUAAAACAAAAGAAAGAAAUGAUUUAUUUGAUAAAUUGAAAUAUCAAUAUCGAGUAUCAUAAAGAGGUUUUCACCCAAAAAAAAUCUAAAUGAUUAUGUUAAAUUAAUAAUAAGGUUAAUUCUAAAAUCAAUACACAUUGAGUUUAGUAAAUAUUUUAAUGUAUUUAGAAUUUUGAACCUAAAAUUGAUUAUAAAAAAUCAUUUAAAUAAGAUUUAAUUUAAAAGAAUAGAAACACUAUUUAAUGGAAAAUUUUACAUUUAUGGGAAGUAAUUCUAAUUCUAAUUCAUUUAACAAAUUAAUAAAAAAAUAAUUUUAUUAAAAUUAGAUAGUGACAAAUUUGUGAUAGAUUUUUAAUAGAUUUGUGUAAGAAAUUUUUUUUCCUAUUACUAUAAUAGAUUUGUAUCAUAUGUUGUGUAUAUAUGUAAAAAUUCAUAUCUAAUCUACGAGUUAUUAUCUAUUUUGAUCCGAAAGUUUUAUGUUUUUAUCCUACAAAAAUAUUCACAAGUAUAAGUUUAAGUUUUUACAUAUUUAUCAAGCAAAUCAUCAAAAUAUCUCGACAAUGAAUUGAGUUAUCAUAAACUUUUUUGGUAAAGCUUAAUAUUCUCUUCAAGCCUAACACAAAACACAUAGAAUCACAAACCUAGGAUCACUCCAAAUGUUAAAAUUAUAGAGUGAUUCUUAUUAUAUAACACAUAGUUCCUGUUCCAUUAUAACCGCUUUGAUACUAUUAUCACUUAAUCUACGAGGUACUGUUUGUUUUGACAUGAAAGUCUCGCAAUUUUAUUUCAUAAAAAAAGUCUCACAAGUAAAGAUUUAAAUUUAUAUAUAUAUAUAUAUAUCAUAACAAAUUCUCAAAACAUACCAAUAUGAGAUUGGAAUGUUACAAAGUUAUUAAGUGUUAAAAAAUAAAAUAUAUAAUUUUUCAUACACAAUUUUUAAACAAUAACAAUAUCCUUAAAAAACAUUAAGAAAUAAUAAAAAAUUCAAUUAAAUAAUAUUUUUGUUACAAGUAUUAUAAUGAGAUUUUAUAUUUUAAAUUGAAAAACAGAUUCUUCCAUUCUUAAGCAUUUCUUUCCUUUUUGCAAAGAAAGACAUUUCCUUACUAGAGAAACGAAAUUGAAAGGAGACUCACUUGGGAUGUCCUUCAUGAAUGUGGGAGAUCAUCUUUUCUGGUUGUUUGCUUCUGGUCUAGGCAUGAAUAUUCUAUGAAUAGAGUAAUUGUAAUACUUCAAUCUCAUAUCAAGAUAUUUUGAGAAUAUAUUAUGAUAUAUAUAUAUAUAAUUAAGAUUUAAAUUUAUAUUUAUAAAAUUUUUUUCGAAAUAAAAUUAUGAAAUUUUUAAAUGAAAACGAACAAUAGCCACAGUUUGGAUGCAGUCACUGAGGAAAGUGCCUAAAAUUAUCUUCUAGUGGACCAAAGGCCUAUGAUUAUCAGUAAGGUAAGUGCUUUUGGGCAAUUUCGGAGCCCAAAAGCACACCUUUUGUUUACGGAAAUUUGUCUCCUUAGCUGAUCUUUGCCUUGUUACCUACACAAUGCAGGAGAUCAAAAGCAUGUUUGCCAAAGCUAUAUAGCAUAUUUUCUUCCAGAAAAAGUUAAUCAAACACUUAAAUGAAAAUUCAAUGACUCAUGCAUGGCACAAGAAAGUUUAAAAUCCUUUUCUAUUAAGCAUUGUUGUGGAAGGUAAAUUAGCAGAUUAUUCUUUCGCUUGCUUUAGUGAAAUACUGAAAAUGAUAAUAUGUUUCCCAAGAGAGGUUAUCAGCAUUUGAAUCCUGAUUAUUAAAACUAAGAGUUCAGCACUCUAUCUGAUGCCUUCUUUGAUAGCUUCUCCCAUGCAGUUCUUAUGGUUUCAUACUUCUGUUUUAAUGCGUAUUUAAGCAUGCAACAAAAAGACUACUAUAAAAUGAACUGGUAACUUGAUUGAUCAAGAACAAGCUCCAAUGGACAAACAUCUGUCACAAACUUUUAGAAUAGUGCCAAGCGAUUCUCAGUAGCAAGUUGAGCAAAUAGUUCAUACCUCAGUACAUUUAUUCUUCUUGUUCUUCACGAACUAGAACAUUAAACCAAAUUAGACUUCUUCACAUUUGAUGCAAACAAUUUCUUUCAGAGACUAAAAACAACUUAGGUAUAAUGUUUACUGUGGUGUAGUCUAGUUUAGUUGUACUCUCAAUUCCUCUGGCAGCCACCAUGAUUGUUAUUCCACUCUUCCUCGCAACCAUAACAAAACUGGAAAUUACACCUGCAACCACAAUCAUAGAGCAACUCCCUGAUCAAUCAUCAAUGCUCUUUUUAAGAAGUUUUUCAUGCACAAACUGAAAAUUUUGUUGAUAAGAUAAUUCUCAUGUCCACAAUUCUAAAGAGUCCAGUAUAAACCCAUCUGUAUGAGUUCAAGGUCAAGAGGAUUUAACCCAUUCCAGUAUAUUGAGAAUAACAUCUACUGAUCUACAUCUACCUAUCCAAAUUCCAAAGAAACUCAACCUGUGAAAUUUCAAACUUUGACCCUUGGCUAAACCUGAAAAAUAAGAUGCUUUAACGAAGGAACAAUGGAACAUUCACAUUUUCAUGGGUAUCUUAUUUAGAUUUUCUCAAAUAAGAAAGUAAAAAUGGACAAGAACAAUAAUUCAAAAUCAUUGGUGAAUCAAUAUUAGAAAUUACUAGAUAUUAACUGACCUGCAAGUCAUAUGUGGACAGCCUUCUGUCCUUUCCACAUAGUAUUUGCACUUGGGGCACCUAGACCAUUUAUUCUCCCUGGCAAGUUCCCUCACCAUGAGAUCUUCUUUCCCUCUUUCGUCCUCAUUAAGCCUCUGGAAAUCUUCACAAUCAAUCCCUGUAUGCCAGGGCACAUGACACUGAGCACAGAACAAUCUAUGGCAGAAUGGGCACUCAGAUUCUCUAAUAACUUCUCCUCCAUCAUCAUUCAACAAUGGGGCUGAACAAUCCCUGAAAGGACAGUAAAAUCUCUGGAAUGCAUUAAUAAACUCUUGACUGAGAGCAUCUUCCCAGCGAUGGACUAGCCCCUCUGGAAGCAUAGGCCUGCAAGUAUCGAGUUCCAACACAGCCCUGCAAUUCACUCCUGGGCACGUAAUAAUCGUUAUCCUUUCUUCAAUCCUAGCCAAAACAUGCUUGGUUAUGCACUCAGAACAGUAAGAGUGAACGCAGCUUUCUGUUGUGAACAUCUGAUCGCUUUCCUUCCUUUCAACACAAAUCUCACAGAAGCUCAAGGAGGAUUCACCAGCGUCCGUUGUUCCUAUCGCCACUAACUCUGACUGAGGCAUGGCUUGGAUUAAUAUUGGGGAUGAAGCAUGGGUGAUGCAUGCGUCGGAGAUGCUGUUACCUACUUGUGAAUAGAUCGUGGAUGACAUCAGAGCCUCUUGAAACUGCAACUCUUCAGCAUACUUGGCAUCAGAUGGAGGAAAGAUUUCAUCUUCAUCUACAUCAAAGAGUGCUGAGUAGUAAAAAUCAUCCACAAAAUCAAGAUCAGAUGUUGGUAUGAUUUGUGCCAUAAUACCAAAGACUCUUGCUUAAUUAUUUGGUCACUGUCUCUCUACAAGGUACAAAAUGGAGGAAGUAGCAUGGCUUUCCAAGUAACUUAGCAUUGAAGAUCCCUAGCCUGAUUGAACUACUUCAUUAAGAAGUUAAUCAUAAAAACUUUUUGACUUUGAGGUCUCCCUUCUUUCCUCUUGACUAGACUUUGUGCCUUACUGGUAUAUGGGAAAAAGCUCUUUCAUCGGCUGUGAGUGGGACAAAAAGCAAAAUCAUAAUAUAAAAUUUUAUUGGUGUAUAACUAUAUAUAAUAUAAUUCUAUGAGCUUUAAAUUGUGGGAGAAAAUCCAUCAUUGAUUUAAAAAAUAUAUUAAAAAUCAAGGGAAAAAAAAAUCAAUUGUGAUUCUUCAUAUCUCUCUCAAUAGUUUUGCAUAUUUUUCUACAACAUUUAAUAAUUUUUCUUUACUCUUUCAUAUGAUUCAAGAUUAACAACAAUGUAUAUCUAAAAAUAAUAAUAAUAAUAAUAACAACAAUAAUUUAAUUAGGUAAAAAAGAUAAAAAAUAAAAAAAACAUUAAAAAAAAACAGAGAAUAACGACAACGUAACACUUAGAUAAUAUAUAUUAAUCAAUUCUUGAUAUAACUUCCGUUCUUAUUUUCUAUCUCUUUCACUUUCCAAAUUAUCAUCAUUCACUUUUUUAAAAAAGUACAUAUUAAUCACAUAUACUAUUAAUAAAAUCUAAGAGGAAUUAAAAUUGACAUAUGAACUUUAAAAUAUCAUAAUUUUAAAAAAUAAUAAAUAUCAACAAUAGUGUAGAUUGUUGUAAAGUGAUACAUUUUUAAUUUUAAUGAUAAUAAUUUAAUUUUUUUAUAGUUUUAUAUAUAAAAAAAAUUAAUACAAUAAAAACACAAAAUAAUUUUUUAUUUAAUAUUUAAAAAUAUUAACAAAUUCAUCAAUCAUCUUCGUUCAAGGACUUAACGUAAAUUAUGUGAUGUUUACUAACUAUCACAUCAAAAGUUUUUCCUAUGAAACCAUAACAAAAAUGUAAAACUUCCAGUCCAAGCUGGAACAUAAAGCACUGCUAUUAUUACAAGCCGCGUGCCCAAAAGGCCAUACCCCACUCGUCGAAGAAAAUAAAAUCUGGUUUCCCAUCUGAGGCAGGGCCCCUACGCAGAAGUAUGUGCCCUUGUCCAUGUAAAAAGGGCAUUUAUGAGCGCUUUGUUAAUCAAUUAUCAUUGAUUGUGAUGAUUGAAGGUCAUUAGUAAUUCCCGAGAGGAAAAAAAAAAAAAAAAAACAAGGUCAGGAAAACUAUACCAGCUUGGGAAUUACAAGUUUAUUACCUUUUCGUGGAUUGAAUAUUAGUUCAAAUAAUAUGUACAUUGAUUAAAUUUUUAAAAAUUAUGAGUUAGUUAUAUUUUUUUAAGUCGUCAGUUCAAAUGGACUUAAGAAUAUAUAAGUAAAAAUAAAGAAUUAAGAGUAAACAAGAAAAAUUUUAGAUGAACUUUUAUAAAUGAAGUUUCUAAAAUUUGUUAUUAGAAAUGAAUGAAUAAAAAUUAAAAUUAAAAAUUAAAAUUGAUAGCUUAAAAGAGUUCAUAACAUAAAUUAUACAUGUAAAAUUUAAAAAAUUUUAAUAUAUUUAUUAAAUAAAUAUUUUUAAUAAAAAUAUUGAUAAAAUUUUUAUUAUUAAAUAAAUAUCGAUUAAAUUUAAAUUAUAAAUAAUAUUUUUAAUAAUUUUGUUAUAUAUUAUUGAUUUUUACAUUAAAUUUUAUCAAUCUAUUAAUUUAAAUUUUUUUAAAAAUUUUUUAUUUAUUUGUUUCUAAUAAGGAACUUCGGUUGUGGCCUUUCAUAAAAAUUUUGUCAACCCUCCCUGCAAGAGUGGUGUGUGCUCCUCUGCAGGUCAGGGUUCAAUUUUAUGUUUCGCCUUCCUCUUAAAAAGAGAUAUCCCUAGACGCCAGUUGAUUAAGCACACCCAAAGAAAAAAAAAAUCAUGAGCAAAGAACUCUAUUAAGUUCUUUGCUGAUUUUCUAUUCUUUUGGUGCGUGGCCAAGUCAAUAAACAAAAGAUUCCCGUUCAAUUACUAUCAUGAAGAAAUUUGUGAAAUAAGAUUGGUUCUUACAAACAAACGAUAGCAUCAGCUUUCCACUUUGGAGGUUUCUGCCUUUGAUUUUCAUUGCGAACCCUUACGGUGAGCUAAUAAUUUGACUAAAUUGAGGCUGCUAGACCUAAUUUUGCAGUGAAACUUCUAAUCAUACAAACUCUAUAAACCAUCUACCCUGAAAAUAUACAAGCCAUGCAUCAUCAGGGAUAAUACAUUAAUUAGUCAAAGCUGAUUGUUUAUUUCCACAUUCCAAUUUUCAUUGAAUUUGCGCGGGAGCUUUCCACUCUUCAAUCCUCAUCAAUACUGGGGUUGCCGUUGUACUGAUAUGGAGUGUCCUCCUCGAUCAGGGAGGCCACGGCAGGUUCAGGAUCCCCUGUAUGCACAGGAUUUGCAUCUGAUUCCUGCAACUUCUCAAGCUCUUUCACCCUUGCUUCAAGAAUUUUGAUUUGGUCCUUGUAAAAGUUCUCCACGGAGUCCAUCUGAGAAACACCACUCAACUUUCAGUCACCAUUAAAAUGUACUUAAUAUUGUUUCCGUUAGUACCAACCUAAUGCAUAAAACAAAAUUUAUCUGGAUUUUUUUUUUUUGAGUCUAUUACCUCUUCCUUGUUUUGUUCAUGCAGUAAUUGGACCCUCUGUUUGAAAAUAUGGAUGUCAUUCAUUUUCUGUUGCAGGUUCCUACUCAGAUUAUUAACGGAUCCUUCAAAAGUUGUUACGCGUCUUCUUUCUUCUUCAAGCCUGUCCUUCAACAGGAUAAAUUGUUGGCUAUCCUCGCUCAUUUUCUCGAUUUCCUUAAGAACCACCUCUUGAUAUGAUUUCAGCUCAUAUCUGAUCUUUGAUUUACCUGAUCAAUAGAAAUAACGUGUCACUUGAAGAGAAUAUGGACUGUAAACAAGAGUAAACUUAAUGCAUGUCAGUCGUUCUGUAUUCAGGAGAUGCAGUUGAAUGAUCCAAGGCAAGUAAUUGAAACCAUUAAAAGUAUCUAAAGAGACACAGAAGGGAGAGAGCACCUUGGAAAUGCUGGUUGAAGAUAUACAGGUCCUCCUUCACUGCCAUGAAACCAUAAAGUUGGCGCUCUCCUCCUGGCAGGACCACGCCGGGACAAGAAUUCCAAGCAAUUCUACCUAAUCCUUUCUCCAUAAAAUUCUUAUGCAGACGCUCAGCCUCUAAAUAACCUACUGCUGAGCUCUCAAAAACCAAGACACUCAGUCCACGGUGACCUUGGGGACCAUAGGAGUGUUGAGCCUUCAAAGCAGGAUACGAGCUGAAAUGCUUGAGAAGCUCUUGACUUCCCAUGCCAACGCACUGAAAUCCAAUUCAGUAAAAAGAAGUUGCAGAUUGCAUUUUAGAUGAAAGAAUUUACUUUUUCAGUUUAACCAGAAUUACUAAAAAUCAGCAUCAGUAAUGGCAACUAAGAAUGAAAUUAAUUCAACUGCUAUGAACCAAAAUAAAAUCAGAUCAUCUUACCUUUCCAUCCUUAUAAAUGCUUGUCAUUGUGUUCAUAAUGACAACCAUGGGAGGCCAAACUAUUUCACAAUCUUUUGCAUCCUCUUUUAAACCUUUCCAGUUACCAAGUAUUUGGUCAGCAGGAGCAACUGAAGUUGCCUUAUUUUGCAGUUCCCCUUCUAGAAGCUCUGCAAGAUUUCGGUGUAGUUUCACCCUUCUUGCUCCUAUCUUUUUAGCAUGUGCUAUGAGGUCCUGGAUGCCCCUGUACCAUUUGAUGGCACCAGGACCACCUUGGCAUGCUGGACAGUGCCACAUGGUUUCGUCGAUCUCCUCGACAUUCAACGCGUCCAUUCUCUCAAAAAAUUCCUUAAACCAUUUGCUCUUCUUGCGACUCUCAUGCCUCUUUUGACUUGUAUCGGAAUCAAAGUCAUCUUCAUCAUCCAAGUCAUCUUCAUCAUCUUCAUGAACAACAUUUCUAUUGCUAUUGGGUUUCCUCUGAGAGUACAGCAACCAGUCAUCAUCUAUUGCUAUGCCUUUUCCCUUUGGAUCUUGGGUGUUACCAGUACCAGCAAUAAGAUCGUCUUCACCCCUCGAACUCAUUUUUGCAUGAAAUUUGCGGCUGGAUCAUUGUUUUAAAUAAAUAUUAGUUGUAAUAUUAUCCAAACAAGUUUCUUUUCCUUUUGUUAUUAAUCAAGUGGUGAUUAUGAAAAACACUGACCUGGAACUGGUUUGAGGAAUGUCUCCCAUCCUUCUUCCAUUGAACUUCGAAUUGGAAUGUCUCAUUGAUCUCCUCCAUCCAGGUUUCCCCGCCGUGAAAUGCUCUCUUCUUUUCUCAUCCCAGUUGAUCCUCUGUUGCUCAUUGCAACUAAGCCCUGAACUCUGGGCAUGCCCUCUUCCUAACUCAUCGCAGUUGAUCGAUUGUUGCUCUUGGCAAUUAAGGCCUGAAUCCUGGGGGAUUGUAUAUUCCGUGCUGAACGAUCUAUGGCAGACAGGACACUCAGAUUUUUUGAUUGCUUCACAGACAGCAUUUUGCAGCUCUUUUUUGAUUGCUUCACAGACAGCAUCUUGCAGCUCUUUUUCAGUCCUGAAGUUAAAAGCUGGACAUGUUACAGAAUUUGCAUUAUUUUUUUUAAUCUUUCUCCAUACAUAUAAUCUUUAUGUAAUCUAAAGAAAAUUGAAGUUUGAACAUUAAAAUCCUGUUUCUAAUUUAAGCAAAUAUUUGAGAAGAAUAGGGAUGAUUAACCUCUCUCUAACUCUUCCAGAGAUAUCUCCGAACCAGGUGGUGAAAUUGCUUCAGGUGUCGAAGUUGGUGAGGGUAAUGGUGAGGAUGAUGAGAUGGAUGACGGUUCACUUGUGGUAAUUUCAGAAAUGAUCCUGGACCCCUCCAAGAUUUCCUGGAGCUGCAACUCUUCAGCAAAUGUGUCAUAUGAAAGCUCCAAAAUAUCGUUCUCGUUCCCAACUCCAUAAGGUAGAUCAAACGCCAAUUCGCUUGCCAUUUUAGUAAUUGCUACUGUGUUGUUAAAGAAUUCAGCCUAUGCUCUUCUUCACAAACAUGACGGUCUGUCUAGCUGCUAAAUAUAACUUGGUUCCCAAUAGAUUUUUCUAGAACUUGGCUACGAAGAAGUUCCUUUCAUUGGACCUACAUAAACUACUUCUUUAGAGGAUUAUAUUAGAUUGAUAAGUGACCCUUGUUGACUAACCUGACAGUCAUAUGAAGUACAAUAUGAUGCCCCAAGGUUGGUCUCAAACUUAGCCCAUAAGAAGCUUUGUUCAUUGGGCACUUUCUACUCUUUUAAAGGUUUAUAUUACUUAAUUUACGUCUAUGUAAUUUAUUAAUGAGUUUGGAGCAUUUCACUUGUAAAAUUUUUCAUUAUAAUUUUAUAAUUACUUAAUUAUAAUAACAACUUUUGUAUAAUUUAUCAUUUAAAAGUGUAAAUUUUAUGCAAUUUUUUAUUAACUUUACACAAUACUAAAUUAUAACUAAUUAAUUAUAUUGUAACUUUUUUGUCUGUCUUAGGAUUUUAUUUUAUUUUAUUUUUUACAAAGAUGGCCUUCCGUCGAGUGUCCCGAUAGUUUUGUCAUAGUACUUGGUUAGGAAGCAGUUUGCUUGCAUUUUGCCAUGAAACUACUUGGAAGUUCUUGGACUGGAUUAGACGGUCAAUUGGUGUAGAGAAUUUCGCUGUCAUUUCCUUUUUAGCUGAAUGUCAAUUCCAAGAAGUUUCAAGCCCAAUAUCUUUCUCAUUUUUCAGUGUUUCCGUUGUGAAAAAACAAAAAGAUUGAAAAUUAUAAUAUUUAAUUUGAUUUGAUUGAUUUUUUAUUAUUUUAAAUUGAAUUUAAAUAUUAAACAUAUAAAUUAAAUUUGAAUUAAAUUUUAAAUAAAAAAUUAAAAAAAUCAAAUCAAAUCAAAUUAAAUUAUAUAUUUUUAUUAAUUUUUUAUAUAUAUUUAUAUUUUUAUAAAAUAAAAAAAUUAUUUUAUAUCUAAAUUUAGUUAAAUAUAUUAAAAUAAUAUAUAAAAUAUAAAAAAUUAAAUUUAAAAAAAUUAUAAUAUUAUAUAUUAUUUAAAAAACAAAAUCAAAAUCAAAUCGGAUCUGAAUAUAACCUCUGUUGAAUUGGAUGAAUCCUGUCUCUUUUGACUGUGAACAGCUGGAGUUAACGCACGUUAGGAGUGACAACACAAUUAAAUUUAAUAAUUGAAAUAUUUCAAUCAUUGAAAGCAUUUAGGCCUUUUGUAAGAUGGACCCCAGCUUAAUACGUACUUAUAAUUAUAGUAAUUCAUUCAAAUCAAUACUAUAAAAUCAAGAGAAAUAUUAAAAGCAGCUUAAUGAAAUUAGUUAAGGUGAUAUUUAAAAAAAAUAUAAUUAAUAUAUUCUUAUUGAAUUUAAUGAAAAUAUUGUAUUAAAAAGUUUAAGUAACAUUUUAAUUAUCUUAAACACUACAUAUCAUCAAAAUUUUAUAUGAAUUUAUAUUUAUAAAUAAUAGAUCUUUAUAUAAUUUUUUAUUAUAAUUAAAUAAUUAUAAUAUUAUAAUAAAAAAUUACAUGUAAAAUGCUCUCAUUAACUAGGCCUUAAAAUUAAAAUUCUCCCCAAUUUAAUCAAAUUAAGACAUUUGGUUAAUUUAGGCAUAAAUUUGUGUCAAAUGUCCCCUAAUUAGGGACGAUCAGGGAUUUUUUUUUGGUUUCAUUAAGGGUCAAAACCACAUAUUGUUUGACCUCAUUUACAAUAAUUAAAAAAAAAUGCAGGAAGAAUUGGCAGAAGAAAUAAGAGAGAAAGAAAGGAUUUUAUUUCCUUCUUAUUUAUUGAAUUUUAAUUUAAUUUUAAUUUUGCUCUCAUGAUUAACAUGAAUCCUUAGUAUUAAGAUGAUUCAUGAACGUUAAUAUUAAGAUGAAUCCUUAAUAUUUUGCUCUCAAGAUUUUUUUCUUAACUCUUUCCAUUAGUUGAAUGAGAUUUCCUUAUUUGCCCAAAGAAAAAAAAAUGAAAUCAUUAUUUUUUUUAAAAUCAGAAAUAUUAGUUUAAUAAUAUUCAUUUACUUACCUACCCAACCAAAAAAAAAAGUUGAAAGUAGUACAAAGUUGGAAGAUAAAUAGUAUUAAUUUUAGAGCAAUGAUGUGGGUACGUAUUGCUAAGGUACUAAUUAUUAUUAAUUAAAACUGAUGUUAAAGAAAAUAAGAUAAAUGCUCUUUGUUCCCCUGAAUGUCGUCUCAAUAAAGUAAUAUCAUCUGUAUUUAAUUAAUUACUAGCAUUUCAAUUUGACCGUUUGUGAUUUGCCACACCAUCACGCGGACAAGAAUUACUAAUAUUCAUGAAAAAAAUGAAAAUGAGGAAAUGACCAAAAUUGGAUUUUCAACUCUGGAAUUGUGGGUUUUGGUUGAUACGUGUUGUCACUUUGGGAAUGGUGGAUUAUGCGUUUAGUCAGAAUAGGACUUUAAAGUUUUUUUUUUUUUAAUGUUAGAAAUUAAAGAUAUUCGUGUUUAAAUCCGUUGAAUAUUUAAAAUAUUUAAAUUUAUUAAAAUAUUUAUUUAUUUAAAAUUUAUCAAAAUAUAAAAUAUAAAUUUUUAAUUUAAAAUUUAAGUUUACUUUUAUUUAAUAAUAAAUAAAAAUUAUUUUUAAAAUUCAAAGUUUUUUUACAAAUAUAAAAUAUUAUAUUAUAUAUAUAAAUGAUAAUAAAUUCGAAUAUAAAUUUAGAUAUUUAUUAUUUAUUUAAAUUUAAAUAAAUUUAAAUAUUAAAUAUUUAAAAAAUAUUAUUUAUAUUCAUUUCGAAUUUGUUACUAAUAAUAAAUUUUUUAUUUUAAUUCAUUAAUUAUUUAUUUAUAAUUAUCUGAAUCUUACGUAAACAUAUUAGGUAAUAAUUAUUAUCAAUUACUAUCUUAUUUUGCUUGCUUCAAAUAAAUAAAAAAUAUAUUAAAUUUUAAUUUGAUUCGGUUCGGAUAACUCAUGAUCUGACCCAAUAUGCUAUUGACCAAUGAAAUGAAAACUCAAUCCAACCAAGCUAACUUUUUAUCCAACCUAAUCCGAUUCAUAUUAACGGAUUGGGUCUGAUCUCGGGUUUAGCCGACCCAAGUAACAUCCCUAAUUAAGAGUUGUUGAAAUUUGUUUCCUUGCACUGUUUGAGAAUUGAAACUUCAUCGAUGAAAGAGAGCAUACCGAACCUGACAAAGCCAAAAUCCGGAUCAGAAGAGGAAGAGAGAAAAAUAAUGAGAAUAGCAUCCAUUCCUGACUGUCAAAGCUGUCACCCCUAAUAUGGUGGCCAUAAUGUUUGUUUUUGCAGGCCAAUCCACCUAUUCUUAUGUGACCCAUUAACUGAAUUCCUGUUGGUGUGCUGCCUUUUCUUCUUGACUUUGAUUUUUUCAAUUCAAAGAUACUUAGGCAUAUAUUUUAUGUACAUGAGUUGUUAAGUUGUCUAUUAUGUUUGGCUGAUGCUUUUAUUAUUUUGGAAAAGCCUAAACAAGAUCCAAGUAAUACAAUUAUGACAGUAAAAUUAAAAAGAUUCACAUUGAAUUCAAAAUUUAAUCCAAUUAAUUUAGAAAAUAAUAUUAAAUAAUUUUGAAAUUCAAAUAUGAUUUUUUUUUCUUUGACUACGAGCUGUUUUUUACUAAAAAAAAUCGCAUUUCUUUUUUAUUAUGGAAUUCGGGAUUUGGAAUUGGCCUGAUAAAGAAUAGGAGGUGGGCUUGAUGAAUAUAAAACUAUGAAAAGACUUCGAGCCUUCAGGAAUUGAGAUUGGGCUUUGGUUCCUGAUGACUGCAACCACAGUUGCGGUAGGUGAAGGGGGGCAACGGUGUGCAUAAAUUAUAAUGGUAUUGGUAGGUAGAAUGCCGUCUCGAGAAAGGCCACAUCUCCUGAGUCAACUUUCCAUCCUUCACAACCAAACAUGGACCCCAUUCCCCCACCAAAUCACCAACCCUCUGCAUUUCUUCUCCAAUUAACGAACACCACAAUUUUUUCCUUCACCGACUUUCCUACUUUAACCAUCCAACUAUCCCCGAAAUCCCCUUUCUACCCUCCACCAACCACCCUCACCAACUUUGAUCUACUUGCUAUAUCAAUAUCAAUGCUAGCUAUCAUUUCCUCUCAGGCUCCUGAUAACACACGAAGCCUAAAAUUUUCAAGUUUCAACGCAUUGUUUUUCUUUGCAGCUCAACUUCCCCAAGUCCCAAAUGGCACCCCAAGCAGAAUUGCAACAAGAAGACAUCAUUUUUCGCUCAAAGCUUCCUGAUAUCUACAUCCCUAAGCACCUUCCUUUACAUUCGUAUUGCUUCCAGAACUUAUCGAACGUUGCCACGAGGCCCUGUUUGAUUAAUGGGACGACAGGUAAAGUUUACACGUAUGCUGAAGUUGAGCUUACAGCUCGCAGAGUCGGGUCAGCGCUCAACAAGCUUGGCAUUCAACAAGGCCAAGUGAUAAUGCUUUUGUUACCAAACACUCCAGAGUUUGUCCUGUCAUUUCUCGGCGCUUCAUUCCGUGGCGCCAUUGCCACAGCUGCCAACCCUUUUUUCACCCCAGCGGAGGUAGCAAAGCAAGCAAAAGCCUCCAACGCCAGGCUCAUAAUCACGCAAGCCAAUUAUGUUGACAAAGUAAAGGAAUUUG
rnacentral:lncRNA from 1 species